UACAAAAUAAUUUUUGGUAACAUAAUAACCUUAUUGUUUUCUUUAUUUGUUUAUUCAUUGAUUGCAUUUUGAUUGCUUGAAUGCUUGCUUCCAGAAUCACAAGGCGAUCAAUGCUAUCAAAAUCUUUCUUCCAGAAUCAUCAUUUCACCCACAUAUUAAUUUGAAAAAUACUAGAAAUGAACUCCGAAAAGGUUAAAAUUUGGCAUGGUAUCAUCAUUUCACCCACAUAGUAUGUGCUAAACAGUUGAGCGUGUUACAACAAAAACAGGAUGCACUUCGUGUAUAAACUGGACAAUCUCUUUUGAAGUAUGAGGAUUUAGGACGAAAACUCAUGUGUUACAAAGGCAUUUCAUUUUUAAGCUUAUUUCAACUCCAGACUUUUUGUGCGUUCAAUAUGAACCAUUCAAAGCCGCAUCAUCAAUUUUUAAUCCUUUCUGACUUCAUUUGCUACUUUUCAUGAAUUUAAUGAUUCUUUUGAGCUAAAUGACUGUGAAAUUGAAAAGCACUACAAAUGAACUCCAAAAAGGUUGAAAUUUGGCAUGGUAUCAUGAUUUCACCCACAUAGCAUGUGCUAAAAAGUUGAGAUCGUUACGAGACAAACAAGAUGCACUUUGUGUACAAACUGUACAAUCUCUUUUGAAGUAUGAGGGUUUUGGACGAAAAUUCAUAUGUUACAAAGCCAUUUCAUUAUUUAAGCUUAUUUCAUAUGUUACUAAAAGGACAGGAAUAAUUGAAAAUUCAUACCUUAAUAAAUAAUUAUUCUACAAUCUCGUUUCAAAUGCCAAAAUGCCCUAGCUAAGAUUCAUUUCGGUUUGUCCCUUGGUUAUUGCAUGUAACCAUGAAUAAUAUUCAUCAUUUAGCAGGAUGCUUGGGCCAGUCUUCUCUGUGGAGGGAGUAAUGUCAUGAAACUUUUCAUAAUCUAUUGACAUGUCUAUCUUGUCCUCCACUCCGAGGAUGUUUCUUUUCCGUGAAAGAACUAUGUGGCUCUUUGGCUCAUCGUAUGAUGUAUUCGCUUCCUUAUCUUUUCUUUUUCUCAGUUUGGUAGACAUGUCCUUCACAUAGAAAACCCGUGCCACAUCAUUGUCUAGGACGAAUGGUUUGUCCGUGUACCCAAGAUUAUUGAGAUCCAUUGUUGUCAUUCCGUAUUGUAGGUCUAACUGUACCCCGCCUCCUGUCACAUUGACCCAUUUCACCGAAACAAAGGGACCUUAAAAUCAUCACGCCCAUAAUCAAGUUCCCAUGAGAUGUGUUUGCAGCCAACCGCCGAAAUUCCCCAUGUGUUCACGUGUAAUCCAGUCAUCACACUCUCCGGGUGUUUGGAGCAUAGAAUAUUCUUGUCUUCAUUGAUAUACGGGGGCCACCAAGGUAGAAUUUUGUAUAACUAUGUGGUGUGCUUGCACCCAAGAUUGCUUGUCCCUACAUAUUAUUGAGUUUGGUCCUAGCAUGCCUCUUCCACUGAGUCACCCAUCAUGCAGCGACCGAGGAACACCAUUCGGCUUAAUGUCACGAACAAACUCAAUGACCUCCUCCAUUUCAUGGCCCUUGGAGAUGCUUCCUUCUGUCCUAGCAUGGUUACGAGCAUAUUUCUUUAAGAC
rnacentral:lncRNA from 1 species